ACCGGCAGCUCGAGUGGUAGCCACUAUUACUGGGCUUAAAGCGUCCGUAGCUGGCCUGUUAAGUCUCUGGGGAAAGCCUACAGCUCAACCGGGGGAAGUCUCGGGGAUACUGGCAGACUAGGGGCCGGAAGAGGUGAGAGGUACUCCAGGGGUAGGAGUGAAAUCCUGUAAUCCUUGGGGGACCACCUGUGGCGAAGGCGUCUCGCCGGAACGGCUCCGACAGUGAGGAACGAAAGCUAGGGGCGCAAACCG
rnacentral:rRNA from 1 species